GAUGAACGCUGGCGGCGUGCCUAAUACAUGCAAGUCGAGCGAACAGACGAGGAGCUUGCUCCUCUGAUGUUAGCGGCGGACGGGUGAGUCACACGUGGAUAACCUACCUAUAAGACUGGGAUAACUUCGGGAAACCGGAGCUAAUACCGGAUAAUAUAUUGAACCGCAUGGUUCAAUAGUGAAAGACGGUUUUGCUGUCACUUCUAGAUGGAUCUGCGCGGCAUUAGCUAGUUGGUAAGGUACCGGCGUACCACGGCAACGAUGCGUAGCCGAACUGAUAGGGGGAUCGGCCACACUGGAACGGAGACACGGUCCAGACUCCUACGGGAGGCAGCAGUAGGGAAUCUUCCGCAAUGGGCGAAAGCCUGACGGAGCAACGCCGCGUGAGUGAUGAAGGUCUUCGGAUCGUAAAACUCUGUUACUAGGGAAGAACAAAUGUGUAAGUAACUAUGCACGUCUUGACGGUACCUAAUCAGAAAGCCACGGCUAACUACGUG
rnacentral:rRNA from 1 species